CGACCUCAGAGCAGGCGAGAUUACCCGCUGAAUUUAAGCAUAUUAUUAAGCGGAGGAAAGAAACUAACCAGGAUUUCCCUAGUAGCGGCGAGCGAACAGGAAUGAG
rnacentral:ncRNA from 1 species